GAAUGAGAUUCGGUCUGAGGGUGUAAAAACCUUAGGGCUGUCAACCUCCACCCUUGUGUAUCAUUCAAUUGUUGCUUUGGUGGGCCGCGACCCGUACGGGGAGCACCGGCUUCGGCUGGAGAGUGCCUGCCAGAGGACCCCAACUCUGUAUUUUGUAACAUCUGAGUACUAUACAAUAGUUA
rnacentral:misc_RNA from 1 species